rnacentral:lncRNA from 1 species
UUUGUCCAUGCCAGAAAGUGCAAGGGUUUCUGUUGCAUCUCCCCUGAAGCCAGAAUUUGCAUAUCUGAGCCAGUGGUUGUUGAGUUCUCUCACUCAAUCUUCUCUUUGGCACCCUCAUUAUAUCCAUGAUGAUGAUGAUGAUGAUAGUCUAAAAAACAGAAACAUCCCAAUAGCAGCCAAAUCAGCCACUUCACCAUCCAUGACCAUAACAUUCCACGAAAACUAGGGCAGAAGUUGAAGUACAUGAUCGAGGGCAAAACCCAUAAAUGAAUCGGGCAAAAGAAACCCUAAUAAAAGAAACCCUAAUAAUAAAAUCGGAACCCUAAAUCGGCAAUUGACCCGCCAUUGAGAAAAAGAUAGACUAAAAUGGAGAUUCAUUCUGAGAUUUUCGCAAACCUUUAUGAGUUUGAAUUGGAACUGGAACUCGCGAUCAGAGAGAAACAAAACAAGAAACGAUCCGAAGAAGAAAUCUCAGAGAAUGUUUGUGAUGUUGAAUGUGUUACUGUUUGUUU